GUUAGUAGUAUGCAUGAUGACAAAAUAUACUUAAUGUUAGUUUUUAACUUUAACAUGUUUAACUCUUAAAACAUUAUCAGGAUUUAAUAUUUAAAUAUUAUAUCACACAAACUGAUUCGAAAAAAAACACCAAAUAAAAUUGAGAAAGGAAAUGGUGAAUGUGUCAAAGCGACAACAACCCGACCAUAGAGCAGACAACAGCCAAAGGCCACUAAUGGGUCUUCAAUGUAGCGAGAAACUACCGCACCCGAGGCGUCCUUCCGCUGGCCCCUAAAAAAAAUUGUAUACUAGUACAGUGAUAAUGGACGUCAUACUAAACUCCGAAUUAUACACAAGAAACUAACAUUAAAAUCAUACAAGAUCUAGACUAACAAAUGCAAGAGGCUCCUGACUUGGGACAGACGCAAAAUUGAGGAGGGGUUAAACAUGUUAAUGAAUG
rnacentral:lncRNA from 1 species